AUGAACGCUGGCGGCGUGCCUAAUACAUGCAAGUCGAGCGAACGGACGAGAAGCUUGCUUCUCUGAUGUUAGCGGCGGACGGGUGAGUAACACGUGGAUAACCUACCUAUAAGACUGGGAUAACUUCGGGAAACCGGAGCUAAUACCGGAUAAUAUUUUGAACCGCAUGGUUCAAAAGUGAAAGACGGUCUUGCUGUCACUUAUAGAUGGAUCCGCGCUGCAUUAGCUAGUUGGUAAGGUAACGGCUUACCGAGGCAACGAUGCAUAGCCGACCUGAGAGGGUGAACGGCAACACUGGAACUGAGACACGGUCCAGACUCCUAAGGGAGGCAGCAGUAGGGAAUCUUCCGCAAUGGGGGAAAGCCUGACGGAGCAACGCCGCGUGAGUGAUGAAGGUCUUCGGAUCGUAAAACUCUGUUAUUAGGGAAGAACAUAUGUGUAAGUAACUGUGCACAUCUUGACGGUACCUAAUCAGAAAGCCACGGCUAACUACGUG
rnacentral:rRNA from 1 species